CCAGGAGCCAGGAGCCAGGAGCCAAGAGCAGAGCGCCAGCAUGAACUCGGGGGUCAGCAUGCUGAGGAUCCUCUUCCUCCUGGAUGUAGGAGGAGCUCAAGUGCUGGCAACAGGCAAGCCCCCUGGGGCUGAAAUUGAUUUCAAGUACGCCCUCAUCGGGACUGCUGUGGGUGUUGCCAUAUCUGCUGGCUUCCUGGCCCUGAAGAUCUGCAUGAUUAGGAGGCACUUAUUUGAAGAAGACUCUUCCGACCUGAAAAGCACGCCUGGGGGCCUCAGUGGGUAUCACCCCCAGACUCAUCCUCUGUUGUAUUAGACGGCUCAGUGCAAUGACGGUGCAGUUUUCCAUGGGAUGCUUCUGGGGAGAACAGAGCCUCACCGUCUUUCUGGAAGAUGUGAUUAUGAUCCGUGAAGAUGAGCAGAAGGGGCUGGUCUGGGCCAGGAAGGAGGAGGCUUCCCAGAUACUGGCGUGUGCAUCGCCCGAGGGGCUCAAUAGGCCAUGGGAGUUUGCUUAUCCUGGAGUUUGCUUAUCCUUGUGUAUCCCCACAAAUAAGGGGAGGAAACAGCCUCUUCAUCACAUAGCAGCCAGGCCCCGGAUCUCUCGAGGGCAUCCGUGAAUGAGAGGACCCAGGAGAGGGAGGUGAAAGCUCUAGGGAACGCUCUGCACCUCUUGUCACAGGACCCCCUUCCUAAUGCCCGGCUUUCUCUGUUUAGACACCAUCCUGCUAAAGAAGAGAGCCCCAAGGCAAAACCACAACUUCUCCAAAAGAGAUGCACAGGUGAUUGAGCUGUAGGCAAGCAGUGACAUGAAGAGGUGUUCUAGCCCCGUGGAAAAUGGCCCAUGGUUAACAUCUCAGGAUGUUCUGCAUCCAACACCCAAGGCUGGUAAUGAACUUUCACAUGGACUGAAUAUUGGAGGCAAAUAAUAGAAGGAAUAGAAUAUACAGUGCCUCUGUCCUGAAGGAAAAUAUCAUGCCUCUUCUGGAAGAAGCAGACUGCACAGAGGAAGGAUUGAGCAAUUUAGCCUGCAGUAGAAGAAGGUGGACACCAAAAACUUCACCCUGUGUUGGAGCUGUUCAUGCUUCCAUGAGGGCAUGGUGUCCAUGUCCGUGGAACCUACCACAGAAAAUGGCUCAUGAAAAGGGGAAUCCGACCCAACACACAGCUUCCUACACACUCUCGUCUUAUCAACAGUUAGGCAGUAAUUUGUAGAACGAUUAGCUUCACCCUCUUAGCUGCCAGGAGAUUCCUUCUUAAAGACAGACUAUGUGAAGAUUCGGGAGUCCUGAAACGUGGGGACUCCGGGAUGGUCUCUAGCCCUAUCGAUGAUGAAUGCUGGCCUUCUGGAGGAGAAAUGGCAGUCUGGGCUGGCGUGGUAGGAAGGGCUUUGGUGUUCAUGGAAUGGGCCUGCUGUUCUCAGACCUUCAAAGGAUGGAACCAACGAAGGACCAAAUGAGAAAGCAGAUGCUGUGCCUUGCAGAGGGCCAUGAAUGUCAGUUAUUAUUUUUCUCCUUAUACAAUUAUUUUGUGGUUAUUAUUACAAUGUGCAUGGCUGUUGCAUAAAAGACAUGACUGGUAGAGGCUGAGGAAAGCCACGCCAUUCUACAAUUGCCAUCAGGCUAAGGCCCCAUGAGCAUUUCUCUCCCUUGUAAUAUUAACCCUGUAUUUCUGGGAUCACAUCAUGGAAUAUUCUUUGCCUUUCCACUUUCCAGGAAAUCUCUCAGACUGGGCUGCCCUCCUUGUGUGUGAUGAAAGAUGAGCUAUAUUUCACAACAAAGUGCUGUGUUGUCAUAAUUUGUCUGGACUCCCAGGGCGUCUCUUACCCAACUUGAUAACGAUGCUGUUCAUUAGCAGCCUUUGUUAACUGAUAACCAAGAGCGGUAAUGUGAUACUCAUAAGCAAUUUUCUGUGUGUAGGAUGAAAUAAACCAUCUUGUAUGGGA